rnacentral:rRNA from 1 species
CCUACGGGAGGCAGCAGUGAGGAAUAUUGGUCAAUGGGCGCAAGCCUGAACCAGCCAAGUCGCGUGAGGGAUGACGGUCCUAUGGAUUGUAAACCUCUUUUGUCGGGGAGCAAGGCCCGCCACGUGUGGCGGGAAGGAGAGUACCCGGAGAAAAAGCAUCGGCUAACUCCGUGCCAGCAGCCGCGGUAAUACGGAGUAUGCGAGCGUUAUCCGGAUUUAUUGGGUUUAAAGGGUGCGUAGGCGGAAGGUUAAGUCAGCGGUAAAAUGUCGGUGCUCAACACCGGCCUGCCGUUGAAACUGGUCUUCUUGAGUGAGCGAGAAGUAUGAGGAAUGCGUGGUGUAGCGGUGAAAUGCAUAGAUAUCACGCAGAACUCCGAUUGCGAAGGCAGCAUACCGGCGCUCAACUGACGCUGAGGCACGAAAGCGUGGGGAUCGAACAGGAUUAGAUACCCGAGUAGUC